UGUUGGUUCUCCCGCAACGCUACUCUGUUUACCAGGUCAGGUCCGGAAGGAAGCAGCCAAGGCAGAUGACGCGUGUGCCGGGAUGUAGCUUGCAGGG
rnacentral:SRP_RNA from 1 species